AUUGAACGCUAGCGGGAUGCCUUACACAUGCAAGUCGAACGGAUUGGCGAACGGGGGAGUAAUGUAUCGGAACGUGCCCAGUAGUGGGGGAUAACUACGCGAACGCGUAGCUAAUACCGCAUACUCUUGGAGCGGCCGAUAUCGGAUGAGCUAGUUGGUGGGGUAAAGGUGCACCAAGGCGACGCUCCGUAGCUGGUUUGAGAGGACGACGAGCCACACUGGGACUGAGACACGGCCCAGACUCCUACGGGAGGUAGCAGUGGGGAAUUUUGGACAAUGGGGUAAACCCUGAUCCAGCCAUCCCGCGUGUGCGAUGAAGGCCUUCGGGUUGUAAAGUACUUUCGGCAGGAAAGCGGUACCUGCAGAAUAAGCACCGGCUAACUCCGUGCCAGCAGCCGCGGUAAUAC
rnacentral:rRNA from 1 species